GGUCCCUCUUCGGAGCAGUGGAGACAGGUGGUGCAUGGUUGUCGUCAGCUCGUGUCGUGAGAUGUUGGGUUAAGUCCCGCAACGAGCGCAACCCUUAUCCUUAGUAGCCAGCGAGUCAAGUCGGGCACUCUGGGGAGACUGCCAGGGAUAACCUGGAGGAAGGUGGGGAUGACGUCAAAUCAUCAUGCCCCUUAUGAUUUGGGCUACACACGUGCUACAAUGGCGUAAACAAAGGGAAGCAAAGGAGCGAUCUGGAGCAAACCCCAAAAAUAACGUCUCAGUUCGGAUUGCAGGCUGCAACUCGCCUGCAUGAAGCUGGAAUCGCUAGUAAUCGCGAAUCAGAAUGUCGCGGUGAAUACGUUCCCGGGUCUUGUACACACCGA
rnacentral:rRNA from 1 species